UACGUAGGGAGCAAGCGUUGUCCGGAAUCAUUGGGCGUAAAGCGCGCGUAGGUGGCCAUGUAAGUCCGCUGUGAAAGUCAAAGGCUCAACCUUUGAAAGCCGGUGGAUACUGCAUGGCUAGAGUACGGAAGAGGCGAGUGGAAUUCCUGGUGUAGCGGUGGAAUGCGCAGAUAUCAGGAGGAACACCAAUAGCGAAGGCAGCUCGCUGGGACGUUACUGACACUGAGGCGCGAAAGCAUGGGGGAGCGAAACAGG
rnacentral:rRNA from 1 species